rnacentral:rRNA from 1 species
CAUUAUGCUCAGCCUUAAACCUUGAUAGUCCACUUACAAUCACUAUCCGCCCGGGUACUACGAGCAUUAGCUUAAAACCCAAAGGACUUGGCGGUGCUUAACAUCCACCUAGAGGAGCCUGUUCUAGAACCGAUAAUCCCCGUUAAACCUCACCCUCUCUUGUUUUUCCCGCCUAUAUACCGCCGUCGUCAGCUUACCCCGUGAGGAACCCAUAGUAAACACAAUUGGUAGAACCCAAAACGUCAGGUCGAGGUGUAGCUAAUGAGAGGGGAAGAAAUGGGCUACAUUUCCUAAACUAGGAAACACGAACAAUGUCCUGAAACGGACAUUAGAAGGAGGAUUUAGUAGUAAGCAGAAAAUAGAGCGUUCCGCUGAACCUGGCCCUAAAGCGCGCACACACCGCCCGUCACUCUCCCCAAGCUAAAAAAUUACACGUACUUAAAAAAUAAUACCUGCAAAGGGGAGGCAAGUCGUAA